rnacentral:rRNA from 1 species
ACACAUGCAGUCGAACGGUGAAGCAGGANUUGCUCUUGUGGAUCAGUGGCGAACGGGUGAGUAACACGUGAGCAACCUGCCCCGAACUCUGGGAUAAGCGCUGGAAACGGCGUCUAAUACUGGAUAUGCACCAGGAAGGCAUCUUCACUGGUGGGAAAGAUUUUUUGGUUCGGGAUGGGCUCGCGGCCUAUCAGCUUGUUGGUGAGGUAAUGGCUCACCAAGGCGUCGACGGGUAGCCGGCCUGAGAGGGUGACCGGCCACACUGGGACUGAGACACGGCCCAGACUCCUACGGGAGGCAGCAGUGGGGAAUAUUGCACAAU